rnacentral:misc_RNA from 1 species
GGGAGACUAGACCGGGACAGGUGAUCGAGAACUUUCCGUACACCGUAGCCAUUUCCGAUUCAGACAACGACACUGUCUUCGAAUGUGUGGCCGCUAACAGAACGGAGAUUGACCCGGAGGCUCAAACAGCUACAUUUGUCUGGCUCUUCCAAGGAAACGAGAACUCUCCAAAGCAGGAUAUUCCUUUCUACGUAAAGACUGGAGAGGAACCUGGAACGCUGCUCUUCUCCGUGGAAGGCGAUCCCACAGUUAGGGAGGGCCGCUACUAUUACACAGACUACAAAACCUGCGUCGUACUGGACAUGGAAUACCACGGACAUCAAUGCAUUCUGUGGACACAAAGAGCAGUGAAGGAUAAUGUUCCGCAGCACUGCAUUGACCAGUUUGUCGACACGUGCGGCGUCGUCCCUCCCCCCCACAGCAGAGACCUCUGCCCGGACGGUGAAGGCGACUACUAGCCGCCUCUGCGGUGUCUUCCUUUUAAACGUGUUGUGCACUAUAUAUUCUGUGCAAAGUAUUCAAAUUUAUCGAAAGCAUUUAAAUAAAUUUUUCGCUGUUCGGAAUGAAAUUCACUAGGAAUAUUUCAUUCAUACAUUUCAAUUUUGAGAUCCUAUCUACGAUCUCAAACCGAGCGUCGUAACAACUAGGCUAUCUAGGCACGCUACCACAGCAUAGCAUAGCCUUUGGGAUAACAAAGAACGACGCCGGAGUUUGGGCGCGCGGGCAGCUAGGGCGAAACAGAGGAAGACGAAGCAGAAUAAAUCCUUAAGCUCCUACUUGUAUAAGAAUUCUUAUAUUAGUAAUGAUUUAAUGUUUAAAAAGUAGCAUUUUUAUUUCAUCAUAGUAAUUUCUAUUCGCAAUUACGAUUA